rnacentral:tRNA from 1 species
GCCUGGGUGGCUCAGUUGGUUGAGUGUCUGACUUCGGCUCAGUUCAUGAUCUCACAGUUUGUGGGUUCGAGCCCCGUGUCGGGCU